ensembl:lncRNA
CGUGGAUUAGCGCUGCCUGGGCUUCACACGUCAGGGGAGGUGAGAGCCAGCUGGAGAAGGCUCAAGGAAAAGCAACAAGAGCAAUCAGAGAUUUUAAAACACUGAUACAUGAUGAAAGAAUUGCUGAGAGGAGACACAUCUUCUUGAUUACAAUUACUCUCAUAUGAGAAAUAGACUCAGAGCAUCCAAAUAUUUUGCACAGGACACCAUAUGGGCAGUAAAUAAUAGAUGCCCUCCGUUCCUUCAGCUGGGUCAGAUCUGAACCCCGAUGCUGCAGAGCGACAGACGCAGCACCUUCUCCC